UACGUAGGGGGCAAGCGUUAUCCGGAUUUACUGGGUGUAAAGGGAGCGUAGACGGCCAGACAAGUCAGAAGUGAAAGCCCAGGGCUCAACCCUGGGACUGCUUUUGAAACUGCCGGGCUGGAGUGCAGGAGAGGUAAGCGGAAUUCCUAGUGUAGCGGUGAAAUGCGUAGAUAUUAGGAGGAACACCAGUGGCGAAGGCGGCCGCCUGGCCUGUUGCUGACGCUGAGGCACGAAAGCGUGGGGAGCAAAUAGG
rnacentral:rRNA from 1 species